UCAGAAACUGCUCAAAGAAAACUGUAAAAUUCACACAUAUCCAGUAGCUCUUUAGCUCUUAUGUUAUCAUUAGCUCUGGAAGAAAUAUAAGAAAAUUUAUAGCAUACUUCUAAAGAAAUUAAAAUUUCCCAAAGAAUUUGAGAUAUGAUGAUGCUUAUACAAUAACUUGGGAAUUAAAUUUUCAAAGCAGUGUCAUUGUCAAGUUGUUGAGAAUUAGGUAGAAUAUUACCUUUUCUAUUUUAACAAGGAAAGGUGAUUUUUUUCAGAAGAUUAGUUGUCACAGUGACUUCAGCUAAGCUGAUGGCUAGUUUGGCCUGAGGAAUGUUGGUCUGGGGCCAUGUUGAUGUGGUGGCCACCUGUUUGAUUGGUUUUUUGGCACUGUGAUGGAAUUGCUUAUAAGAAACCGUGCUGAACUGCAGAGAGCUUUCAGCAAGACUUUUAUUAAAGAGACAGAGAGGAGAGAAAAAAAAUGCAGACAAGGAGAUCACAAAUGCAUCAGAUGGCAACGAGAAAGGGAUUCUGUUUCACCUUGACUCCUUGUUUCCACUAACAACCUCUCCUUUAUCUACAACACUCCAAUAUUGCAGAACCUGAGGAUAUGAAAUCACUUCCUCCCUUCCCCUCAAAGAGAUCAAACAGUGGAAACUGGGACUUAUGGAUACUCCAAACAUUUGCAAAUG